UCCUGAGGCCCCCCCUCGUUCGCAGCCCGGCCUUCCCACCACGCGAACCGCGAGCACGACGCCGGCGACGAGGACCGACGCCGAGCGCCGCCGCCGAACCCAACCGACGAGCCGGCGGAGAUGCUGCUGGAGGAGCUGCUCCGCUGCCAGAUCCAGGAGUGGUACCCGGCGUUCCGGCGCCACACGGUCCCCACCGCCAUCAUCCCGCUCCCGGCCGCCUUCCUCCGCUACCUCGCCGGCCGGACCGCCUACCCCGGCCCCGACGGCCCCGACGAGGGCGAGCAGGGGCCGCUCCCCUUCGUGCUCCCGACGCUCACCUCCGGCCGCGCGCCCUUCCCGCCGCUCCAGGGCCACUUCCCGGACCCCGUCUCCCUCCUCGAUCGCGACAACACCGACCCCCUCUUCGGCGGCUCCGGCUCCGACUCCGACGAUGACGAGGGCCUGCCCCCGCCCGCGUUCCCGGAGCUCGAGGCCGCGGUGGACGCCGCCAUCGCCGGCCUCGGCGGCGCCGCGCUCCCCAAGCUCAACUGGAGCGCGCCCAAGGACGCCGUCUUCAUGGCCGCCGACGGCACCGUCCGCUGCACCUGCUUCGCCGAGGUCGCCAUGCUGCUCCGCGCCUCCGACUGCGUCGCCCACGACCUCAUCUCCGCGCGCCGCUCCUGCCACGACUUCCUGCGCGCCAAGCCUGUUCGACGGAAUGCCGCAGAGGGCGGUCUGAGUGAUCCUGGUGAGAAUUGCAGCGAUGGAGGUGCCCGUGGCGGUGGGAGUGGUGCGCCGGAAGAGGAUGCCGAACAAGAAAGCAGUGAUGAUGAUGAGACUUGGGUCGACGAUGGGUUCCAGUACUACCUCGCGCUCCGCAAGUGGUACCCAGGCCUCCGCCCCGAGUCGGAGUUCCGCUGCUUUGUGCGGGGGCGGAAGCUGGUCGGCGUGUCGCAGAGGGACCCGUCUGCCUACUACCCUUCGCUGCCUGGGUGGAGCGCUGAGGUGCAGCCUAAGAUCGAGGAUUUCUUCGAAGAAUUCAUCGAGCCACAGUUCGCUUCAGAGAAUUAUACGUUUGAUGUGUAUGUGAGAGCCGAUGACCGGGUGAAGCUGAUCGACUUCAAUCCUUGGGGUGGCUAUACCCUGCCGCUGCUGUUCACAUGGGAGGAGCUUGAGGAGGAGCAGAGAGGGGAGGACGAGCUGGAGUUUCGAGUGGUGAUGCAGCAGGGUGCAGUGAGGCCAGGGUUAAUGACAGCAAUUCCGUAUGAUAUGCUGGAUUGGGGGGAUGGCAGUGGGUGGGAUGUGUUUCUGAAGAAGGCUGGCAAUGAGCUCGACAGACAGAUGGCAUCAUUAGGUGUGGAUUCGUAGUCGUGCCCUGCUCUACAACAAGGUGCUUGAGGACUCCAGUAGGUGAACAAGUGAAGUGAUGGCUCUUGGGUGAAAGAAGCGUUACUAGAAAUGCUAUCUUGGAGCUGAGGGUGCAAUGUCUCAGCAAUGCCUGAAAUCCUGAUUCGUAUCAAUGACUUGCAUAAUGCACUGAAUUUCCUGCCCCAUAACUGAAGAAUUCCAGAGCUCGUCCGUAGGAUAUGAUGAGCUGUAUCCUGCAGUACCUGGGGUGCGUGACAAGGUUAUGUUUUGCAGUGCAUGCUGGGACCUGAACCAGAGGGGUACCUAGAUAAAAGUAACUGCGAAGCAACAUACUUGGAGACGCGUUUUGAUGGCUCCACGAGGGAAUUUACCGGGUCGAUCGUGAGCGCACGUCGAAGCCGGAGGCGGAUCCUGAUCCGCGUGGGAUGUCCACGGGGUGUUUAUCCUGCGCAUCGCCCCGGCACAAGAUAUUCUUUUAAGGUACGUGUGAAUAACAAACGAUUUCCCAUGUGAGUAGGAUACGCAUGGAUGCUUCCUCUCAGUUUACUGCAUUUGGUCCAGUACUUUUGAGCCACGUUUACGAUGACUUGGUCUGGAGAGCAUAUAUGUAUACAAUUCUACAUUGGUACCUGGUUUCGUUAAGUCUGCGGCGAAUUGCUGCGUGCAACUGUUGGUGAUCUGCAUUAGUCGCUAAUGAAGGUAAAGUUCAUGUCAAAUAUAUUACAGUGAACACAAGAAACUAGAAUCUGCUUCCAUUAAUUGGAAGUAGUAGGAGAUAGUUUCUUGUUUUUGACAUAACUGUGCUAGCAGGUGCCUAAACCUGACCAAUAUUUUGUAACCUAAUAAAUAUUUAGAAGAAAUAUGUACUCUUGUACGGCGUACGGCUGAUCAAUAUACCAGGGAAAUAAUUGAAGUUACCCAAUAUAAGAACCUACACAUAUUUUUGCUUGGCUACCUUACACAUGGGCUAGCUACCUUACACAUGGCAAUGGAGGUUGAGAGGGAGGCUGCAUUUAUGGGAGCAUGACAUCCCAGCUAAUUAUUUGCAUUGCAGUUCCCCAGCAAGCUUGUUUCAUGCAUGCAUGCUAAGCCUGAACUGAAUUGAAUACAAGCUUGUCACAACGUCAUCACCACCUAGCUCCCCUCCCCCUUGUUUAACUAAUGUAAACAGCAUCAACUUGGCCUUGAAUGCCACAUGAAGAGAGAGCCCGGAUGUGGAGGAGUGUAGAUUAUGUGGCACUGGAACAUGGGUGGAGGGGAUUAGUUCCACUUCUACUACUACUACUACUACUUAAUUACCUUACUUAGCUGAGCAUAACAAGGGAAUUAGUCAUGGGUCCACUGCUGUCUGUCUCCCUCUUAGCACUUGACCCCAUAUUCCACUGACAGCUCAAGACCUUGCUGGCUCAUUAAGCUCUGCACACUAGCGCCUACUCGAUUAAGAAACCCCUCACUCUAUAUAAGUAGCCGCAUGCUUGCACGUCUCAUGCAUUCACAGAGCCUAGCUAGCUACCUGCCAAGAGCUGCCCUGAACCCUAGCCAGUAGUAGCUUCCCGGAACACCGUCACCAGUAGCUCGGUCUCACCUAGGUGGGGAACAGUGACACAGAGCAGCU